rnacentral:rRNA from 1 species
UGGGGAAUAUUGCACAAUGGGGGAAACCCUGAUGCAGCAACGCCGCGUGAAGGACGAAGGUUUUCGGAUCGUAAACUUCUAUCAAUAGGGACGAAGAAAGUGACGGUACCUAAAUAAGAAGCCCCGGCUAACUACGUGCCAGCAGCCGCGGUAAUACGUAGGGGGCAAGCGUUAUCCGGAAUUACUGGGUGUAAAGGGAGCGUAGGCGGCACGCCAAGCCAGAUGUGAAAGCCCGAGGCUUAACCUCGCGGAUUGCAUUUGGAACUGGCGAGCUAGAGUACAGGAGAGGAAAGCGGAAUUCCUAGUGUAGCGGUGAAAUGCGUAGAUAUUAGGAAGAACACCAGUGGCGAAGGCGGCUUUCUGGACUGAAACUGACGCUGAGGCUCGAAAGCGUGGGGAGCAAACAGG